UACAGAGGUCCCAAGCGUUGUUCGGAUUCACUGGGCGUAAAGGGUGCGUAGGUGGUCGGGUAAGUCUGAUGUGAAAUCUCCGGGCCUAACCCGGAAACUGCAUCGGAUACUAUUCGGCUAGAGGGUUGGAGGGGGGACUGGAAUACUUGGUGUAGCGGUGAAAUGCGCAGAUAUCAGGAGGAACACCGAUGGCGAAGGCAGUGGGCUGGGCCGGCACUGACGCUGAGGAGCGAAAGCGUGGGGAGCGAACAGG
rnacentral:rRNA from 1 species